GCAUGGGUCGGCUUGUUACGGGUUUGCUCGGAUUGGAACAAAACACGUGCUACCACACUGACACACACUUUGGGCUCAGGACAAAGCUCCUCCUGUGUUCUCUGCAUUACACUGCCAUCCCAACCCUCGGCGGGAGGUUGAACUGUCGUAUUGAGACUAGUGUGCUUGUCUGCCUGUGUGUGUGUGUGUUUCAACUGUGUGUGAUUGAUAGAUUGGUCUGAUGGUUUGAAAGGGAAAGUGAGUGAGGGAGAGAAAAGGCUGCGUGAGGGAGAGAGAAGGCUGCGUGAGGGAGAGAAGGCUGCGUGAGGGAGAGAAAAGGCUGCGUGAGGGAGAGAAAAGGCUGCGUGAGGGAGAGAGAAGGCUGCGUGAGGGAGGGAGAGAGGGGGAGGGAGCGAGAGUCAAGAGGUGGAGCGUUAUACGAGGGUCUCUGAACCACUGUAAUCUGAUUUAAGCUGCUUAUAGAAGAGGGGAGAGAGGGAGAGAGAGAGACCGGGAUGCUGAAAGAGAUGCAAAGAGAGAUUGGAUGCACAAUUACACUGACUAAAUCAGUGCACUUGGACUUCAAAAUGUAAGGUUUUUCCGAUCGCUUUGUUGGGAACCUUGUUGUCCAGUGAUAGUGGUUUUGGGAGAUCUAUGGAGCGAUGCUGGGAGGUUGACUGCUUUGGACUGGCAAUGUGCUGGGGCUUUCAUUCUCUCUGCUGGUUCAAUCAGGGAUGUCACCUGAGUGCUGGGAAGAUGAUCUGAAUCAAACUCUUGUUCUUGCUCAUUAGGCGGAUGAAAACCUUCACCCCUUAAACCUCCAGCCUUUUCUGACUUCUUAAGUCACUGGGAUGGUUGAUUGAAACGUUGACCUUUUUAUUCCCUGAUCGGAAUGAUGGAUUUGUACUUUGAUGGACUUUUGGUGGACUCUAACCCCUGACUUCUAAGUUAACCCCUGACAUGCUGAUAGUGUGGUGGUGUUCGGCCCUCCUGACCUACGUGUCCCUCUACCUCUCCCUGUCCUUCCUGCGUAG
rnacentral:lncRNA from 1 species